GGCCCGUUGGAGAAACGGUUAACUCACAUCCCUCUCAAGGAUGCAUUCACGGGUUCGAAUCCCGUACGGGUCACCA
rnacentral:tRNA from 1 species